rnacentral:lncRNA from 1 species
CACAAGGAGUUUGUACCGGCUAGGACAAGAAGGUAGGGUAAAGUUGAGAAGGAGGAGAGGGGGGAGAACUUGAGCAAAGGUGAGGGGGGGAAGUGGGAGGAGAAUAUUUGGUGUAAAGGUAAAAGUAACAGGCUGAGGCAGGAAGCAGAUUGCAGACAGGUGAGAGGAGACCCCAGGGGGGCUGUCAUUGGGCUAUUCUAGUAUUAUAUUAUAGUAUAGUAUAUUAUAGUAUCAGGCAGGCAGGCAGGCAGGCAGGGCUGUGUCAUUCAGUGAGGACACUGAUAUCUCCCUUUAGGACCCAGCUAUUGUGGGCUACAGAUCCCCCAUUAAAUGCUGGGGUGACAUGUUUAAUGAAUGUCUGGUAGGAAUGUAACACCAAUUACUAAUACAUGUUCACCGCUGGGAUACUCUGCUCAGAAAUCUAUCCUGACAAGUGAGUGCCCCACAAACAGAGGGUAACAGUGGGUAUCCAGACAAUGACAGUGAGGGUCUCCAUCUCACCAUCCCACUCUGUUGUCAGAAGACAUUUGACCCCUAUGAAAUGUUUAGAAUAAAAAGCCUGUACAAAGCAAGCUUCACUUUUUUUUUAUUCAGAAAUGUAAAUUUAUUUUGUCCAAGCACAAUUAUGGGUUUAUCAUAUUAAAAAAAUCAUCAUUCAUUUGAAAUGGUAAUUCAAAAUGGAUGAGAAUAUGUCUGAGUAUAUUCCAGUUUGGCUAUUUUACCCUCGAUGUUGCGCUUCAUUCAGUUCUUCACUUUUCACAAUUUACAGAAUAAACCCAUAAGUUACUAACCCAAGCCAAGAGCAGGAGGGAUGCUUAAAGGACCACUAUGAUGCCAGGAAAACAAACUCAUUUUCCUGGCACUCAUUUUCCUGGCACCACUCCCACCUGGCUGUAGGGGGAGGAAUGGGGUUAAAAACUCACCUUUCUCCAGUGCCGGGCUCCCUCGGCGCUGGGAACUCUCCUCCUCCUUCGGUCGUCAUCGGCUGAAUGCGCAUGCGCAGCAAGAGCCGUGAGCGCAAAAUGCUUUCCUAUGGGCGCUGGCAUCUUCGCACUGUGAAAAUUACAGUGAGAAGCGCCUCUAGUGGCUGUCAAUGAGACAGCCACUACAGGCUGGAUUAACCCAUUUGUAAACAUACAAGUUUCUCUGAAACUGCUAUGUCUACAGCAGGCAGAGUUAAUCCUAGAUGGACCUGUCACCCAGACCACUUCAUUAAGCUGAAGUGGUCUGGGUGCCAAUAGUGGUCCUUUAACCCCUUAAGGACCAAACUUCUGCAGUGAUCUCCGUGCUCAGCUCCCUCGCGCACCUCUUAGUGAUGCCGGAGCUGGAGUGACUUCAUAUUCCGGCUCCAGCAUCACUGCUGUGCGCGCGAGGGAGCUGAGCAGGGAGAUCACUGCUCACUGUUCCCUGUCAUGUGUCCUUAAGGGGUUAAAGCAUCACUGUCACUUGUGAGGUAUUUGCAUAUUUUUUUACAUAGACCCCACAAAGUGACACGACCGUUUUUGUGGAGGUAGCGGAGGGGAAAAUAGAUAGGGACAUGGUAAGCGAAGGCUAGCCUUUCUUGUCUGAUCACACAGAAGAGCUACUGUAGCUCAAAUUGCUGUUAAGCUUAAUGCUGGCCAUGAUAGAGAGGUGCCUGAACACACAGAGUGCAUCGCAGUUUGCUGUGUACCCACAGAACGGUCAGAGUGUCCAUGAUGACCCAUGUCCACCUCUGAGUACGCCUCCAAUGGGAACGUGAACAUCAGAACUAGACCAUGGAGCAGUGUAAGAAUGUUGCCUGGUCUGAUAAAUGUCUGAUAAAUCAUGUUUUCUUUUAGAUCAGGUGGAUGGCUUGGUGCGUUGUUUACCUGAGGAAGCAAGAUGCACUAGGGGAAUGCCAGAAUGCUGGUGGGCAAUGUUCUCUUGAGAAACCUUCAGUCCUGGCAUUCAUAUGGAUGCACGUACAUGUUUUCACAGCAGUGGUGUUAUCUGAUGACUGUGGCCUUUUAAAGCAGGAUAAUGCACGGCCACACUGCAAAAAUUGUUCAGGAAUGGUUUAACCCCAUAAGGACCAAACUUCUGGAAUAAAAUUGAAAUCAUGACAUGUCACACAUGUCAUGUGUCCUUAAGGGGUUAAGGAACAUGACAAAGUUCAAAUUCCCAAGAUCUCAAUCCUUACAGAGCAUCUGUGGGAUGUGCUGGAACAACAAAUCCUAUCGAUUAAGGCCCCAUUUCACAACUUGCAGGAAUUAAAGGAUCUGCUGCUAAUGUCUUGGUGCCAGAUACAGAACAUGUUCAGAGGUCUUGUGGAGUUCAUGCCUCGAUGCAUCAGAGCUGUUUUGGCAGCACGAGGGGGUUCAACACAAUAUUAAGCAGGCAGUUUUAAUGUUGUGGCUGAUCAGUGUAUGUAUAUAUAGUAAUUCAAUCAAUCCCUGUAUCUUUUUAUUUUCUUUACUGUUUAAGGUUAUUUUACCACUAUCCAGAAGGGUCCAUGGCUCACCUACUGACCAAGUCAUGUUUUGGGAGAGGAGUAACCGCUGCCCCACCAUGCUCUGCUCUGCUCAGAGCUUACAGUGCAGGAAACUCAGACACAGAAUACCUGCACAAGAGCAUUGUUCCUACAAUGCACUUCCAGAAAAGCCUUCCAAGGUAAGAUAGAUUGAGAUAUUAAUAAAAUGUAAUCGUACUUGUGACCAUGCAUUUGCUGUGCUUGCUUCAGCUGCACUUGUACUAUAUAUUUGGUUAGUAACUGGCCACAUAAAAUAAACUGAGACCUGUGACAGCCGUGUGGCAAGAUUUAGGUCAAAGUUACCAAGCUGAGAAAAAUACAAAAUGCAGACUAAAUUUAAAGUGGAUCUGCACCUCUGAGACAUUCUUUCUUAUCUUUAAAGGGACACUAGAGUCUCCAAAACAACUCUAGCUUAAAGGGACACUUUAGUCACAAAAACAACUUUAGCUUAAUGAAGCAGUUUUGGUGUAUAGAUUAUGCCCCUGCAGUCUCACUGCUCAAUUCUCUGCUAUUUAGGAGUUAAAUCACUUUGUUUAUAAACCCUAGUCACACCUCCCUGCAUGUGACUUUCAGCCUUCCAUAAACACUUCCUGUAAAGAGUCAUCUACAGUUUAUCCUUCCUUUAUUGCAAGUUCUGUUUAAUUUAGAUUUUCUUAUCCCCUGCUAUGUUAAUGGCUUGCUAGACCCUGCAAGAGCCUCCUGCAUGUGAUUAAAGUUCAAUUUACAGAGAAAGCGAUACAAUUGUUUAAGGUAAAUUGCAUCUUAUUGAAAGUGAAACCAGUUUUUUGAAUGCAGGCUGUCUCAUUCAGAGUUAAGGGAAGGUGUCAUAAGGGCCGUAUAAACAGAAACAAAGUGAUUUAACUCCUAAAAGGCAGAGAAUUGAGCAGUUAAACCUGAGAAGCAUGAUCUAUACACUAAAACUGCUUCAUUAAGCUAAAGUUGUUUAGGUGACUAUAGUGUUCCUUUAAUGAAUUAGUUUUUGUGUAUAGAUCAUACCUCUGAAGUUUCACUGCUCACUUCACUGCCUUUUAGGAGUCAAAUCACUUUUGCUUUUGUUUAUGCAGCACUAGCCACACCUCCUCUGGCUGUGACUAACACAGCCUGCAUGAAAACAAAAUUGUUUAAUUUUCAAUCAGACAUAGCUCACUUUAAUAGUUUGUAUCUCCUGCUUUGUAAAUUUAACAUUAAAUUACAUACUGGAGGAUCCUGCAGAGUCUAGCACGCUUAACAGAGCAGGAGAUAAGAAAUUCAAAAUUAAAUAGAAUUUGCAAUAAAGGAAGUCUAACCAUUAGAUGACUCUAUACAGGAAGUGUUUAGGAAGGCUGUCAAAUGCAGGGAGGUGUGCCUAGGGUUGCAUCAACAAAGUGUAAUUUACCUUAAGCAAUUGUAUCUCUUUCUCUGUUAAUUGAACUUUAAUCACAUACAGGGGGCUCUUGCAGGGUCUAGCAAGCUAUUAACAUAGCAGGAGAUAAGAAAAUCUUAAUUAAACAGAACUUGCAAUAAGGAAAGCCUAAAUAGGGCUCUCUUUACCGUAAGUCUUUAUGGAAGGCUGUGCAAGUCACAUGCAGGGAGGUGUGACUAGGGUUCAUAAACAAAGGGAUUUAACUCCUAAAUGGCAGAGGAUUGAGCAGAGAGACUGCAGGGGCAUGUUCUAUACACCAAAACUGCUUCAUUAAGCUACCGUUGUUUUGGUGACUAUAGUGUCCCUUUAAGUCAAGUAAUACACUGUAUUUAAAACCCAAUAAAUAACUAUGCAAUUGCAGUGUGAACAGGUAUCCACCUCAAAUAACUGCUCACUUCAAUGUUAUUGUUAAACGGAAAUUCAGCAAGAUUACAGCAAUACCAAAUCUGUGUCAAUGUGUGUGUAUCUGUGUUUAUAUGUGCCAGUGUGUAUGAAUCUGACACACAGAUACACACACUGGCAGAUAGUGGCACACAGAUCAGAUACACAUACCUUGGCACACACUGUGUGUCAAGGUGUGUGUAUCUAUGUUUCAAAGUGUGUGUAUCUGUGUUUGUAUGUGCCGGUCUGUCAAGGUGUGGAUAUCUGUGUUUGUAUGCGCCAGUGUGUGUAUCUCUGUGUCCGUGUGUGUGUGUCCGUGUGUGUGUGUGUAUAUGCAUCUGACACACAGACACCUUGAUACACACUGACACACACAUCUUGAGUCACAAAUAUACACACACUUGCACCCACAGAUACACACUGGCACAUACACACACUGACACACUGGCACAUACACAGGCACACACUUAGAUACACACAGUGACACAUACACAAACCUUGACACACAGAUACACACACUGACACACUCAGACACACAUACUCUUUGACAGACACACAUACACUCUCACUGACAAACACACACACUCUUUUACAGACACACAUAUACACUCUCACUGGCAAGAACACAUUCACUAUCACUGACAAACACACAUAUGCUCUUUGACACACACAUACAAACUCCCUAACAGACACCUAUACAAUUUUUGAGAGUGCUGGCAUGGAGUCCCUGUGGUCCAGUGGGGCUGCUGGGUGGCUGGAGAGCGGCCCUGUGGUCCAGUGGGGCUGCUGGGCGGCUGGAGAGCGCUCCAUGGGGUCCAGUGGGACUGCUGAGCGGCUGGUGUGCAGGCGGUAAGGGAGCAGUGAUCUCCCUGCUCCCUGGAUUGGAGCGCCGGUGUCCUUUGGCACUGGGUCAAAGUCAUCCGACAGGGUGUGCUAAGACACGAACGCAAUCCCAGAAGCGCUUCAAGUGGUCUCGGCGACUAUAGUGUCCCUUUAAGACAUGAAAAGAUGCUAUGGUGUCUUUCACUUUAAAUAAUAUCCUGAUGUUAAAUCUAAAUUAAAGGAACACUAUAGGAUCAUAAACAUAAACGUAUUCCUGACCCUAUAGUGUUAAAACUACCAUCUAGCCCCACUUACCCCACUACAUAUUGUAAAAGCUUACGUUAAUUCCAGACUGCUGCUUCUGGCUCUGCCCCUGAUCUACCUGCUUGGUAGACAUCAUCAGAAGUGGUGUUCUUCCCUUUGGGGGCACGGGGGGGGGGGGCGUAGCAUGUGCCCCCCUUUUUUGCCUCCCCGCCUCCCCCCCCCCCCCCACCCCUCUUUUCUUCCUUCUCUUUUUCUUCUCUUUUUCUUCUCUGUUUUCUUUGCGAUCCUACUCCUCUCUCGCGAUUCUGGUUUCCAUCAGAAGAUUAGGUUAGUCACCACAGGCCCACUAUAGAUAGUGUAGGCAAAAGGUUCUGGUGAGCCCCAAUCGGGGACUUGGGGAGGGACAUAGCAAACUACACGGUCGUUUUCUCCAAAAAGCAAGACGACCGGUUGGUAGGUGAAUAGUGGAGUUCUUAUCUUCAUCUGUCGGGCUGCUAUAGGGAGGUCAACAGGACAGUGGACGGAAACUGGCCCAAGGAAUAGCGUUCCUCCUCAGGGGGGGUUGAAGGGGGUGGGGAUGGAAUGGGGGUUCAGAGGCCUGGGGUGACUAGGUGAUGGAUUUAGGAGGAGGAUGGAGUCAAUCUCAUUCUUUCUGGUUUAUUACUGUUAAGUUGGACUUCUGAGUAAUGUGGCGUUGACAUGGGAAGGGACUGCUCAAGAGCUGAGGGGACACAUAUACAAGCCGGGACUCUGAGCAAAGUACAAGACCAUGGGACUGGGCUCGAGGAGCGGGAGCUGGGGGACUGUGGUCGGGGCCCAGGGUCUUGGGUUUUUUCUGUUUUUCUUUUUUCAUUAGCAAUGUAAUCAGCUGGAAAAUGGAGAAUAUAUGUGCGGCGGUCUGCUUGUUAUGUCAUUGCCGAUUGUUAAAUAAAGAAUAAAUAAAAAAAAAAAGAAGUGGUGUUCUGAGCCAAUCACAAUGCUUCCCCAUAGGACUGACUGAGACAGUCAAGGAGGCAGAUCAGGGGCAGAGCCAGCACAAGCAGUGUUGCACAUUGUGCAGCACUUCCCUAGGAAGCACCUCUAGUAGCCAUUUGAGGAGUGGCCAGUAGAGGUAUUCCAUGGCUGUAAUUUUCUCUGAAAACAGUGUUUACUGCAAAAAGCCUAAAGGGAAUAAUUAUACUCAUCAGAACAAGACACUUUAGUGUCCCUUUAAAGAAUAGAAGAAAAAAAACAACUUCGACAUGGUAGCUGGUAGUUAAUACGUGGUCUGAGAUUCAUUUAGCCUUCUUUUAUAUCAGUAUAUAUGCAGGUGUUAUCUAUAAAAUAAUACCACUGUGUCUUGGUUUGCAGGUUACCUAUUCCCAAACUUGAAGAUUCUAUAAAAAAAUACUUGAACGCACAGACACCUCUUCUGGAUUCUGAACAAUUCAGGUACUUACCUUAUAGUCCAACAGUGUGUGGCUGUGUGCUGUGAGCCACAUUCUAAUAGUGUGAAUCUGUGAUUCUUCUUCAAAAUAUCUUGACAACACCUAGAAUUGUUCUGUUAAUGUUCUAGGAAGACUGAGCAGCUGGCGAAGAGCUUCCAGAAUGGGAUCGGAAAGCAGCUUCACGAGGAACUGGUGUUGCAAGACAAACAAAACAAGCACACAAGUUACAUUUCUGGUAAGAAUAAAAUGGGAGUCAUAGUAUUUAGGAAGAUCCAGUCCAUAAAGCAACAAUAUUGCCCUAAAACUGCCUUUUCAGGCAUGGACUUAUAAAUGACACAUUGAGAACAACAUAGCUUCUGUUCCAAAAGUGACUAAUUUAGGACUCCUUUGGAAUUUUCAGAGGACUUCUUUACUGUAAUUUCAUUGUUGUUGUGUUUAAACUCUAAGAGGGAAUCUAGUUGCUUACAGAUCAAAUGUGGUCCCAAUCUUCUGUCACUGUUUCUGAUACUGUAGAAAUGUCCAGGCACUUCAAGAUUUCAACAAAAGACAAUUUAUUUAAACCCACAGCCAAAUUGCAACGUUUCGACCUACAUGGUCUUUGUCAAGCUUUGUGGGGCAUUUUGUCAAGCUUGACCAAUGCCCCAUGAUGUUUUGUGAUCCUGCAUUGCAACAUUGCUUGAUACUUAUUCUCAAUAAAUAAGAAUUAGGUAGACAAGCCAACAUAGCUAAAUUACCCAAUAAACACGUAGUGUAAUCUGUAACUUUACAUUAUUAUGAAAGCUUAUGUCAAAAUUGACUUUCAUCCCAUUUUUACAGACAAUUAAUAUUACAAAAUUGUUCAUUCUUGAAGCACUUUCGAAGUAGGAAUAAAGAUGUAUAAAUUUAUAGACUCUCAUUGUAGCCACGGCUUCACAUUAAUUGCUCUUCAUUUUAAUUUACAGGUCCCUGGUUUGAUAUGUAUUUAUGUGCUCGCGAAUCCAUUGUGCUGAAUUCUAAUCCCUUCAUGUCCUUUACCCCUGACCCAAGACCAGAAUAUAACAACCAGCUGAUCAGAUCCACUAACAUGGUUGUGUCUGCUAUGCGAUUACUAAAGACUAUUCGAGCAGGUUACCUUGAACCUGAGAUUUUUCACCUUAAUCCAGCUAAAAGUGACACACAGAGAUUUAAGAAACUCAUCAGAUUUGUGCCAUCAUCACUGUCCUGGUAUGGAGCAUACAUGGUGAAUGCUUAUCCAUUAGAUAUGUCACAGUACUUUCGACUUUUUAAUUCGACUCGUCUGCCGAAACUUAACCGUGACGAACUGGUGACAGAUGAGAACGGAAAGCACCUGUUGGUGUUAAGGAAUGGGAAUUUCUAUGUGUUCGAUGUCUUUGACAAAGAUGGGAACAUAGCAAAGGCUUCAGAGAUCCAGGCCCACUUGCAGUAUAUCCUAUCAGAUGCCACCCCUGCUGCAGAGUUUCCUGUGGGAUAUCUCACAAGUGAAGAAAGAAACACGUGGGCUGUUUUAAGACGGAAGCUUCUUGAAAAUGGAAAUGAAGAGGCCCUGAAAAAAGUGGAUUCUGCUGUGUUUUGCUUGUGUCUCGAUGACUUUUCCAUAAAGGAUCAUAUCCACUUGUCCCACAAUAUGCUCCAUGGAUCAGGUAUGAACCGAUGGUACGACAAGUCCUUCAGCAUCAUCAUGACGCAAGAUGGGACAGCAGCUGUGAACUUUGAGCACUCUUGGGGAGAUGGAGUUGCUGUCCUACGGUUCCAGAAUGAGGUGUUCAGGGAUAGCACCCAGAGACCUGCAAUAUCACCUCAAAACAUCCCAGCGAAAGUGGACUCCAGCCAAGCUGUAAAGAAACUUGUCUUCCACCUUGAUGACUCUUUGAAAUCUGCAAUCUCAACCGCCAAAGAAACGUUUGAUGCAACUAUGAGCUCGCUCACCAUUGCGUCUAUGGAAUUCAAAAGAGGUGGGAAAGAGUUCUUGAAGACACAGAAGCUCAGCCCAGAUGCUGUAGCCCAGCUCUCCUUUCAGAUGGCAUUCUUCAGGCAAUAUGGGCAGACCACAGCCACAUACGAAUCCUGCAGUACAGCCGCUUUCAAACAUGGCCGCACCGAGACCAUCCGUCCAGCAUCCAUCUAUACCAAGAAAUGCUCUGAGGCUUUUGUAAGGAAUCUUUCAAAACACAGUGUGGGCGAGCUCCGUAGCAUGUUACAGGAAUGUUCAAAAUACCACGGGCAACUCACCAAAGAGGCUGCAAUGGGUAAGACUCACGAAUCCUAGAGAAUCCGAUGAUAUGUAGUAAAAACACACAGGUGUUUCCAAGAUUGUUAUAGUAAUUCUCUUAAUUGAAUGUAUAGAUCGAUCGAUAGACAGAUUCUAUAUACCAUAACAAGUAAACUUCCAUAUGAGCCAUGUGCAUAUCCAUAAAGACAUCCCAUCCAGGUUUAUGUAACAUAACCGGCGAAGCAGUUUUGAGAAAAGACUCUAAUGAAAAUACUAGGAAAGCUGAAAGUUAGCCUGGUGAGCAGCGACAGUCCUGCUUUUUCUCCUCCCAUAGCUGUCAUACAUGCUCUUUCAUAGAAAACAAGAGGGACUGUACAAACUGUCUGAGACUUUUUUACAUUUUAAUGCAAUUAUUUUAGAGAGCAAAUGUAAUUGUAUUUUUGUAAUAGUAUAGAUAUUUAAACAUCUGGAAGAAGGAAUCUCCCAUUUUGUGGCCAAAUUAUAAAUUUCUUCACAUUGGGUUUUCAUCUUCUCUCAACAACACAAAAAGUGUGUAAAAAGCUGAACUUGAUGGACUGAAGUCUAUAUUACUGUGUAAUUAUUUUUAAGACUCUGUAUAAAAAGGUGGCAGGAGGCCCUAUUAGCACACAAAUUUUAGGCAGAUCCCCAGAGUUUCCUAAUGACACACCUAGCCAAUAUGGUGAACAAGUUGGAGAAAAUAUGAUCUGUGCCAAGCACAAUAGAUUUAUUUUCUGCUUUAUCCACUGGUAUUGCAUCUGGUGUUGGAACAUGUCAUAUUCUUGUGUUAAGUAAAAGAUGGACAGUGCAGCAUGAUACUGGGGUGUGUGUAUGUGUCUCUUAUUGUUAACUAGUGAAGGCCUAGAUGUUCCCCCAUAAGCUUUCUGCAUAUGCAGUGACUGCUGGCCUUUAAUUCUGUUCUGACAGUGUUUACUAAACCAUUGAUGUAAUACAAGGACAAUCUCAAGGAAUUACUGUAACAAAGUACUGGCAAAAUAUCCUAUUUAUCCCGCAAUAACUAAUUCUUCUGCUUUCUUUCCUCUUCCUACAGGCCAGGGGUUUGACCGUCACCUUUUUGCCAUGCGAUACCUGGCAGCAAGCAAAGGACAGAGUCUCCCAGAAUUGUAUCAAGAUCCUGCUUAUGCUCGGAUUAACCACAAUGUCCUCUCCACCAGUACUCUCACCAGCCCAGCUGUCCAGUUUGGAGGGUUUGCACCAGUGGUAGCAGAUGGAUUUGGGGUGGGGUACGGCAUGCACGAUGACUGGAUGGGUUGUAAUGUCUCGGCAUACCCAGCUCGUGAUGUUAGGCAGUUUGUGCAGUGUGUGCACCAGUCGCUAGAGGACAUUUUCAAAGUUCUGGAAGAGAAGUCUGUGAAAAACUAAACUAAAUGGCAGAUCAGAUACAGUAAUAUACAGGUUAAGAAUCAUGAUGAUAUUGUAAGUUGUUUUACUCUGUUUUCAGCUGAGAGAGCCUCUCUUACUCAGGUGAUGUGCAAAUCAAUCUUCAAAUAUCACAUACAUCAGGGCUCAAAAUUUUCACUCCUUUCUAGCCGAUAGCAAGUGGACAAAUUAGCCCUGGUGAAUGUGCCAUGAACCCUUUAGGCUUGCAGUGGUGAAUAACGUUUAUGGCCUGGCUGCACUCAAAAUUUUAAGACCUGCAUAUUUAAAUCCAGUUGACCUUAAACACAGAACACCAAAUCACAGCCUUAGAGUUGUGCAAAUGAAUAAUAACAGAUGUAAGAUUAUGUCAUUUAAUUCUAAGUACUGCAUUAAAAUGAGCUGCCCUUUAAAAGUGUAGGGGAACUAAUCACUUUAUUUUUCUUUUUUUGUCGUUGUAUCCAAUUUGUUGCACUUGUUUCCAUAUUGGCUUUCUGUGAUUAACUCAGAUAAUUCAUGCCAAUCUCAUAUUUGUAGACUAAGCCUUUAGUCACCCAUUGAAUAAAUAAUUUAAAUUCAUUGUGCCAGCGAUUUCUUAACACGUUAAUAUUUUUAUUAAAGAGAUGCAUGCUGAAAAGUCUUCAUGUCCUUGAGGUGACUAAAUAUGUUAAGUCUACGUUGAAUAUUUACCCCACCUGACAGUUAAGAUGUACCCAACAGCUUAAAUCAUUGACAGAUCAUCUUUAGUGAUCAUGAAUUAGAUUGAAUAUCUUCUACCUGAAAUAGCAAUGUGUGGAAGAUUGCAGCAGCUCUAAAAUGUAUCACCCUUCAGAAUUACUGGAGAUUAUGCACCAAACACAGUGCAAAUUUUACACCAAAAUAGCGGAAUUGGUACACAGCUAUUUUGUAAUUUAUUUAAUUUGGCCUAACGUUUGCAUCUUUCAAUUCUCGCAAUUAAUCCCCCCGUCUCUUUAAACUAUAAAUAAACCAGCAAUGUGUUACAGGCAUAAACUAAAAUGAAGACAAAAAUCGAACCAGAAUCAAAAGUAAUUAUUGUUUCUACAAUGUGAAUUUUCAGAAAUGUUCGAUACCCAUUACACAACUUUGCAUGUUGCAAUUUUCCAGCUGUUUGAAAAUUUGUUUCACCUUUAGCACUUUCUGGUAGUGGAUGAGAGUAAUGGGAAUUGUUAUUCAAUAAAGUGUCACACAUGCAGACAUAAGCCUUCCGAC